AACGAACGCUGGCGGCAGGCCUAACACAUGCAAGUCGAGCGCGCCCUUCGGGGUGAGCGGCGGACGGGUUAGUAACGCGUGGGAAUAUGCCCAAAGGUACGGAAUAGCCUCUGGAAACGGAGAGUAAUACCGUAUGUGCCCUUCGGGGGAAAGAUUUAUCGCCUUUGGAUUAGCCCGCGUUAGAUUAGGUAGUUGGUGGGGUAAUGGCCUACCAAGCCUACGAUCUAUAGCUGGUUUUAGAGGAUGAUCAGCAACACUGGGACUGAGACACGGCCCAGACUCCUACGGGAGGCAGCAGUGGGGAAUCUCGGACAAUGGGGGCAACCCUGAUCCAGCCAUGCCGCGUGAGUGAUGAAGGCCUUAGGGUCGUAAAGCUCUUUCGCCUGUGAAGAUAAUGACGGUAGCAGGUAAAGAAACCCCGGCUAACUCCGUGCCAGCAGCCGCGGUAAUACGGAGGGGGUUAGCGUUGUUCGGAAUUACUGGGCGUAAAGCGCACGUAGGCGGAUCGGAAAGUUGGGGGUGAAAUCCCGGGGCUCAACCCCGGAACUGCCUCCAAAACUAUCGGUCUAGAGUUCGAGAGAGGUGAGUGGAAUUCCGAGUGUAGAGGUGAAAUUCGUAGAUAUUCGGAGGAACACCAGUGGCGAAGGCGGCUCACUGGCUCGAUACUGACGCUGAGGUGCGAAAGCGUGGGGAGCGAACAGGAUUAGAUACCCUGGUANUCCACGCCGUAAACGAUGUCAACUAGCCGUUGGGGGACUUGAUCCUUUAGUGGCGCAGCUAACGCAAUAAGUUGACCGCCUGGGGAGUACGGCCGCAAGGUUAAAACUCAAAUGAAUUGACGGGGGCCCGCACAAGCGGUGGAGCAUGUGGUUUAAUUCGAUGCAACGCGAAGAACCUUACCAGGCCUUGACAUCCUUGGAAUCUUUGAGAGAUCAGAGAGUGCCUUCGGGAAUCAAGUGACAGGUGCUGCAUGGUUGUCGUCAGCUCGUGCCGUGAGGUGUCAGGUUAAGUCCUAUAACGAGCGCAACCCCUGCCGUUAGUUGCCAGCAUGUAAAGAUGGGGACUCUAACGGGACUGCCGGUGCAAACCGUGAGGAAGGUGGGGACGACGUCAAAUCAUCACGGCCCUUACGUCCUGGGCCACACACGUGCUACAAUGGCCGGUACAGAGGGAAGCCACCCCGCAAGGGGGAGCGGAUCUACAAAACCGGUCACAGUUCGGAUCGGGGUCUGCAACUCGACCCCGUGAAGCUGGAAUCGCUAGUAAUCGCACAUCAGCCAUGGUGCGGUGAAUACGUUCCCGGGCCUUGUACACACCGCCCGUCAAGCCAUGGAAGCCGGGAGUGCCUGAAGUCCGUCGCCGCAAGGAGCGGCCUAGGGCAAGACCGGUAACUAGGGCU
rnacentral:rRNA from 1 species